rnacentral:rRNA from 1 species
CUGAUAGUGAAUUGCCGAUAUCUUUUGAAGAUAGGCUAGAGAAAUCUCUAAUAAAGUACAGUGAUGGAAUUGAUGAAACUAUAACUUAGCCAAUGCAGUCAUAAAAUAUGACGUACCUUUUGCAUCAUGGGUCAGCUACUCAAUAAAUAUAAAACAUAGAUUUUUAA